rnacentral:rRNA from 1 species
GACGAACGCUGGCGGCGUGCUUAACACAUGCAAGUCGAACGGAAAGGCCCCCUUGUGGGGUACUCGAGUGGCGAACGGGUGAGUAACACGUGAGUAACCUACCCUUGACUUUGGGAUAACUUCAGGAAACUGGGGCUAAUACCGGAUAGGAGCUCCUGCUGCAUGGUGGGGGUUGGAAAGUUUCGGCGGUUGGGGAUGGACUCGCGGCUUAUCAGCUUGUUGGUGGGGUAGUGGCUCACCAAGGCUUUGACGGGUAGCCGGCCUGAGAGGGUGACCGGCCACAUUGGGACUGAGAUACGGCCCAGACUCCUACGGGAGGCAGCAGUGGGGAAUAUUGCACAAUGGGCGGAAGCCUGGUGCAGCAACGCCGCGUGCGGGAUGACGGCCUUCGGGUUGUAAACCGCUUUCGCCUGUGACGAAGCGUGAGUGACGGUAAUGGGUAAAGAAGCACCGGCUAACUACGUG